UAGGGAAUCUUCGGCAAUGGACGAAAGUCUGACCGAGCAACGCCGCGUGAGUGAAGAAGGUUUUCGGAUCGUAAAACUCUGUUGUUAGAGAAGAACAAGGACGUUAGUAACUGAACGUCCCCUGACGGUAUCUAACCAGAAAGCCACGGCUAACUACGUGCCAGCAGCCGCGGUAAUACGUAGGUGGCAAGCGUUGUCCGGAUUUAUCGGGCGUAAAGCGAGCGCAGGCGGUUUCUUAAGUCUGAUGUGAAAGCCCCCGGCUCAACCGGGGAGGGUCAUUGGAAACUGGGAGACUUGAGUGCAGAAGAGGAGAGUGGAAUUCCAUGUGUAGCGGUGAAAUGCGUAGUUAUAUGGAGGAACACCAGUGGCGAAGGCGGCUCUCUGGUCUGUAACUGACGCUGAGGCUCGAAAGCGUGGGGAGCAAACAGG
rnacentral:rRNA from 1 species